CUAGUUUUUAACAGGGGAGAAGGAAAAUAAGAGAUGUAUUAAAAAAAAUCUGAAAAAAAUAUUAAUUCAGUAUGAUUUUACAGCAAACAAAGUAGUGGCUUUUUUGGCCACUGAGGGGCACUAAAUGGAAGUUGUUUUGAGGAUAUAUAUAUAUACAUAAGAAUAAUAUAUAACAUAUGUUAAUAUAAUAUAUUCUUUCUCUCUCAGCCAUCACCUGCGGAGCCCUGGGUUGCUGGCUUGCUGAGCCCUUUCUUUCGGUAGGUAGUGUUACAUUUAAAAUACUAAUUUAAGUGGCAUGUUUCCAUGACAGAUUUAUUGAUUUAUUUGUUUGUUUUGCAGUGCCCAGCCCGUCCUCACCGCUGCCCCUGAUACCAGGCUGCUGUGUUGGCUGUUUUGCCAUAAUUUGAGUUUCUUUAUUUUAAGUCUUUAAAGUUUACUCUUUCCUUUUGUAAACUCUUUGCUUGAGUCUUUGUUUUUGCUCUUUUGUUAAGUUCUGGUUUUCUUACUUAAUUUCUCCCUAGGAAUACAGGUGCCUUUAGAUAGCUAACCCUGAUGAUAAUAUUAAUAAAAAAAAAACAAGACCAAACGACAAAAAUCUUUGCAUGGGUGACCAGUGUGUGUUUUAAGCUUGAGGUUUCAAUAUUGUAGUUGCUGUGAUUCUUGAUGAACAAAGGUAUCACAAUUUCAGUGGUUUCUAAUAUUCUUCCGCCCAAUCAUUAAAGGCUCUUCACAUGGUGGUUAGACUGAGGCUAACACCCCAUUACUCACUGGAUUCAAACUCCAGCAGCCCUGGACCCACAUUCACCUCUUUUCUUUUCUAAGUGUCAUAAAAUUUGUCAUGGCUCCUUAAGCCAAGUCCUGUGUUGUGGGCUUUAAAGACAGACCUUGAAAUUUGAUUUCAAAGUAUGAUACAGGACUGUUAAUAACUUAGUUCACACAGCUCGUUUUAACCAAGUCCUGUGUUUUGAGCAUUUUGAAGACAAACCUUCAGCAGAACUUGUUUGACACUGUAAUGCUUAGAUCACUGCUGUCCAAAAUAUUAGCCCAAGACUAAGCACAUGUGAAAAACCUUCAGUGUACCUACCAGCUGAAACCCAAAGUACAUAUUUUGUUUCUAAAAACAUGUCGUCUCUUGUAGGUAAAUUGGGGAAAUACGGUAAGCAUAUUAUAACAUGAGGAAAGUUUAGCUGCCUGCAACAACUGAAGGAACAGUUUUUUUUCCCUUCAUCAUUGUCAGUCAUCUUUUGAUAUGAGGACAGAUACA
rnacentral:lncRNA from 1 species